AUUGAACGCUGGCGGCAUGCCUUACACAUGCAAGUCGAACGGCAGCACGGGUGCUUGCACCUGGUGGCGAGUGGCGAACGGGUGAGUAAUACAUCGGAACGUACCUUAUCGUGGGGGAUAACGCAGCGAAAGCUGUGCUAAUACCGCAUACGCCCUGAGGGGGAAAGCGGGGGAUCGAAAGACCUCGCGCGAUUAGAGCGGCCGAUGCCUGAUUAGCUUGUUGGUGGGGUAAAAGCCCACCAAGGCGACGAUCAGUAGCUGGUCUGAGAGGACGAUCAGCCACGCUGGGACUGGGACACGGCCCAGACUCCUACGGGAGGCAGCAGGGGGGAAUUUUGGACAAUGGGGGAAACCCUGAUCCAGCAAUGCCGCGUGAGUGAAGAAGGCCUUCGGGUUGUAAAGCUCUUUUGUCAGGGAAGAAACACCGGCUCUAACACAGUCCGGGAAUGACGGUACCUGAAGAAUAAGCACCGGCUAACUACGUGCCAGCCGCCGCCGUAA
rnacentral:rRNA from 1 species